UGACUUUAUUAUAAUCUGUGGUGAGGCUCCUCCCUCUGGAAUUCUCCUCCCCAAAACCUUUGGAGGGAAAAUUCAAAUGUAACAGGACACAGGACAGUUACAGGAGCAGAGGACACACAGUGUGGAGCAGGAGGAUUAUGAAGCUGAUCUGGAGAGUCGUCUACAAACACAGAGUGACGUCCAGAGCUCUGCUGGAGCUGUGGGGAAGUUCAUGAAUGUUAUAGUUGAUGUUUCAGAAAAAAGGAAGAUGUUUGAGAACCAACAAAACACAGACCACAGAUGAACAAAGUGAUGUGGCAUUAGGAGGACUUUAUACCAGAUGCCCUCCCUGUUACUGUGUUUAGAGGAAGAAAAGCAGCACAUGGCAGAGACCAGAGCUUCUUCACUGGAAUAAAUCUUCACACUGUCCAGCUCCAAACUGUGUAUCUCUGUCCCUGUGCUCUCUUUGUGUUUGAUUCUGUUUAAGACAAUACAGAUCUGUAGAAAACUAAA